UUUGAUCUGUAGUUGACUGCUUGUUUGAUCCACAGAAAAACAUGUUACAAAAUUGACUUUAUUUUCUUUUUUGCAUAAAACUAGGCCAUUGGGUUGGUAGCAGUGGUGCAAACACAAUGGAGGUUAAUGAUAAUUCUCUGUGUAAAAUAUGUCAUGAAUUCGUUGGUUCAAUUUCUCAAGAACUCGAGAUUUCAAGUGUGGAUGAUUUGUGAACUAAGAUGUCAUAGAACUUUAGUAUUAUUGUUGAUCCUGUUUGUCAGUCACAUAAUGCUCUGGUCAGCUAUCUCAAUUGGAAAUAUUUCCUUUUUGAAACAUUUAUUGAAUAUUUUUUAUGAUUGUGUAUCAACAAACUUUUUUUUUGGGUUGUAGUUUUUUUCCGGAAGAGGUUCUGAUUCAAUUUGAGAAACGGAAAAAAACGUCAAUUAUUUUAAUGGAUCUCGACACUAUGGCAGUUUACAUGUCCACUAUUUUUGCGUCAAAAUAUGAUAAAAAGAAGAAAUGCAUAUUUCAAUUUGCAUAAGGAAGACAACAUUUGUUGUAUUCUUGAAUUUGCUUUGAAUAGCUUGUUUGUUGAGAUAGCUAGAGGACCUUCGUAAAGUUGAGAGAAAAUUAAAAUAUUUCAUAUUUUAGUGGAUGUUUUUCUAUUGUUUUUAUGUCUACUUUUUGAAUCAUAUGCAUUAUGCAUUAUAAAUAGAAUCUGGUGAAUAUGUCCUUUGUUUUUUUAGCUUUGA
rnacentral:lncRNA from 1 species